rnacentral:lncRNA from 1 species
GAGCAUCCCGGAAUGUCAGAGCCUGGCAUUUUCACUUGGGGGAAGAGGGACAGGAAUGGAUACAACAUCGCAAUUGAUGAGUCCCAGUGGCGGAUCCAGCUCUGGGUCCCCUCCCUGUGGAAUCCAAGAUGGAUGAUGGGGUUAAUCCCAGUAUGUGAUCCAUACUGGAAUCUCAUGGGUCUUCUUUUUCUGCGGGAACAUGGGAACAACAGCUUGACUGCAGCAGGAGUCGCUGCCAGAGCAAUCCAUGGCGCAGCAUCCGGCCCAUUCCCUCUUCCCAGGAAAGCCGAGAGCUGCCAGCAGAGCUCAUCCCAGUUCUCCCACCCACCCACAGCUCCUGCUAACAGAUAAAUUUCCCAUUUUCCAGUGUUUUAAAGCCAAGAACCACAAAUAUUCCCAAUGCUUUAGCUCUGGUGUGAAAUUAUCCUGCUUUGGGCAGUAAAUUCUGCUUGGGGCAAAAAAAUCUGGGUUCCCUCUUCCAGUGGCUGGCAGUUCCUCUCUGGAAGCCAGGAAUGGAAAUGGGGACCCUGGGGACAGGGAUGGGGACAACUGGGAGCAGGGAUGGGGACACCAAGAUGGGAUAGGUACAGCAGAGACAGAGAUGGGAACAGCAGGAAUGGGGAUACCAGGAACUGGCAUGCGGACACCAGGAGCAGGAUAGGAACACUAGGACUAGAACUGGGACUUGCCAGCCACACCUGGCUCUAUUCCCCAGAAUUCAUUUCCCACUCUGUGUCUCAUGUCCAAGGUAUCCCCAGGAGAGUUUUGCCAUGUCGGGCUCCUAGAGGGGAAGUGGGAUGGGGGGGAGGGGUCAGGGUGAAUCAAGGGUCUGGAAGAAUUAAAAGAGUUAAGAAUUUAGUUAGAAGGAUAGAAGCAAUAUAUAUUGAUUAAGAGUUUAGCAAGAAUAAUAAAAUCAGAGUCGAAGGGCUAAUUAUUAGCAGAUGGAGCUAGGUAGAGCUAAGACAAUAUAUCAUUUGCUUGACUUUGUUGUAUUUGUAGAAGCAGGAUGGGAGGAUAGGGCAUUGUAAACAUGAAGAAGCCAUAACUGCACCUGGUCCCCAAAACCAGUCAGAAACUGGCUGGGGAGUUUAGACUGUGGCCAAGGGACCACAGAGCCUGCCAACAAGACAAAGAUGAAAAGUUUACCAUGAGGAAGACGUCCUUGACUUCAUCUUAGAAGACCACUGACCCAUUUCAGGACCCACUGACCCAUUUUGAACAAAGGAGUGUGCAAGCAUAAAAGGACUUUGAGCUCAUGUUAAUACGAAGUGGGGUUAGGCAAGGUUAGAUAAUACAUAUGUAUAGGCAUGUUGGGUAAUUAUAUGAAUAUGUAAGAGUCUUCUGAAUAAAUUGAGAGCCGGAGCUCUGUGAAUUUUGCACACGUCUUUGGUAUGUUACUCUCCAUGUGCCUGGUGCUGUCAAUAAACAUACCACUUUCUGUCAUUAGUUGGGGAGUCCUUUCUGCGAUUCAUUUGGUGAGCCA